CCUACGGGUGGCAGCAGUGGGGAAUAUUGGGCAAUGGGCGCAAGCCUGACCCAGCCACGCCGCGUGAAGGAAGAAGGCUUUCGGGUUGUAAACUUCUUUUAAGAGGGAAGAGCAGAAGACGGUACAUCUUGACUACACCACAGCUAACUACGGGCCAGCAGCCGCGGUAAUACGGAGGUGGCAAGCGUUGUCCGGAUUUACUGGGUGUCAAGGGCGUGUAGCCGGGCUGACAAGUCAGAUGUGAAAUUCCGGGGCUCAACCCCGGACCUGCAUUUGACACUGGUUGUCUUGAGUAUCGGAGAGGCAGGCAGAAUUCCUAGUGUAGCGGUGAAAUGCGUAGAUAUUAGGAGGAACACCAGUGGCGAAGGCGGCCUGCUGGACGACGACUGACGGUGAGGCGCGAAAGCGUGGGGAGCAAACAGGAUUAGAUACCCCUGUAGUC
rnacentral:rRNA from 1 species